rnacentral:rRNA from 1 species
GUAGGUGGCAAGCGUUGUCCGGAAUUAUUGGGCGUAAAGCGCGCGCAGGCGGUUCUUUAAGUCUGAUGUGAAAGCCCACGGCUCAACCGUGGAGGGUCAUUGGAAACUGGAGAACUUGAGUACAGAAGAGGAAAGCGGAAUUCCACGUGUAGCGGUGAAAUGCGUAGAGAUGUGGAGGAACACCAGUGGCGAAGGCGGCUUUCUGGUCUGUAACUGACGCUGAGGCACGAAAGCGUGGGGAGCAAACAGGGAUUAGAUACCCUGGUAGUCCACGCCGUAAACGAUGAGUGCUAAGUGUUAGGGGGUUUCCGCCCCCUUAGUGCUGCAGCUAACGCAUUAAGCACUCCGCCUGGGGAUACGGCCGCAAGGCUG